GACCGUGAAAACCUGGGGCUCAACCCCAGGCCUGCGGUCGAUACGGGCAGGCUAGAGUUCGGUAGGGGAGACUGGAAUUCCUGGUGUAGCGGUGAAAUGCGCAGAUAUCAGGAGGAACACCGGUGGCGAAGGCGGGCCUCUGGGCCGAUACUGACGCUGAGGAGCGAAAGCGUGGGGAGCGAACAGGAUUAGAUACCCUGGUAGUCCACGCUGUAAACGUUGGGCGCUAGGUGUGGGGGGCCUCUCCGGUUCCCUGUGCCGCAGCUAACGCAUUAAGCGCCCCGCCUGGGGAGUACGGCCGCAAGGCUAAAACUCAAAGGAAUUGACGGGGGCCCGCACAAGCGGCGGAGCAUGUUGCUUAAUUCGAGGCAACGCGAAGAACCUUACCUGGGUUUGACAUGCACGGAAAAGCCAUAGAGAUAUGGUGUCCUUCGGGGCCGUGUGCAGGUGGUGCAUGGCUGUCGUCAGCUCGUGUCGUGAGAUGUUGGGUUAAGUCCCGCAACGAGCGCAACCCUUGUCCUAUGUUGCCAGCACGUAACGGUGGGGACUUGUAGGAGACUGCCGGGGUUAACUCGGAGGAAGGUGGGGAUGACGUCAAGUCAUCAUGCCCCUUAUAUCCAGGGCUGCAAACGUGCUACAAUGGCCGGUACAGAGGGCUGCAAGACCGCGAGGUCGAGCGAAUCCCACAAAGCCGGUCUCAAUUCGGAUUGGAGUCUGCAACUCGACUCCAUGAAGCUGGAGUCGCUAGUAAUCCCGGAUCAGCAACGCCGGGGUGAAUACGAGACCGCGAGGUCGAGCGAAUCCCACAAAGCCGGUCUCAGUUCGGAUUGGAGUCUGCAACAUCAUGCCCCUUAUAUCCAGGGCUGCAAACGUGCUACAAUGGCCGGUACAGAGGGCUGCAUGGGGACUUGUAGGAGACUGCCGGGGUUAACUCGGAGGAAGGUGGGGAUGACGUCAAGUCAUGUUGGGUUAAGUCCCGCAACGAGCGCAACCCUUGUCCUAUGUUGCCAGCACGUAACGGAUGGUGUCCUUCGGGGCCGUGUGCAGGUGGUGCAUGGCUGUCGUCAGCUCGUGUCGUGAGAUUCGAGGCAACGCGAAGAACCUUACCUGGGUUUGACAUGCACGGAAAAGCCAUAGAGAUCAAGGCUAAAACUCAAAGGAAUUGACGGGGGCCCGCACAAGCGGCGGAGCAUGUUGCUUACUCUCCGGUCCCUGUCCGCAGCUAACGCAUUAGCGCCCCGCCUGGGAGUACGGCCG
rnacentral:rRNA from 1 species